CGGGAGGCAGCAGUGGGGAAUCUUAGACAAUGGGGGCAACCCUGAUCUAGCCAUGCCGCGUGAGUGAUGAAGGCCUUAGGGUCGUAAAGCUCUUUCGCCUGUGAUGAUAAUGACAGUAGCAGGUAAAGAAACCCCGGCUAACUCCGUGCCAGCAGCCGCGGUAAUACGGAGGGGGUUAGCGUUGUUCGGAAUUACUGGGCGUAAAGCGCGCGUAGGCGGAUUAGAGAGUUGGGGGUGAAAUCCCGGGGCU
rnacentral:rRNA from 1 species